GCAGAUGUAGCUCAGCUGGUAGAGCACGACCUUGCCAAGGUCGGGGUCGCGAGUUCGAAUCUCGUCAUCUGCUCCA
rnacentral:tRNA from 2 species